rnacentral:rRNA from 1 species
CAUAGGUUAAUGAGGCGAACCGGGGGAACUGAAACAUCUAAGUACCCCGAGGAAAAGAAAUCAACCGAGAUUCCCCCAGUAGCGGCGAGCGAACGGGGAGGAGCCCAGAGCCUGAAUCAGUGUGUGUGUUAGUGGAAGCGUCUGGAAAGGCGCGCGAUACAGGGUGACAGCCCCGUACACAAAAAUGCACAUAUUGUGAGCUCGAUGAGUAGGGCGGGACACGUGGUAUCCUGUCUGAAUAUGGGGGGACCAUCCUCCAAGGCUAAAUACUCCUGACUGACCGAUAGUGAACCAGUACCGUGAGGGAAAGGCGAAAAGAACCCCGGCGAGGGGAGUGAAAAAGAACCUGAAACCGUGUACGUACAAGCAGUGGGAGCCUCUUUUAUGGGGUGACUGCGUACCUUUUGUAUAAUGGGUCAGCGACUUAUAUUCUGUAGCAAGGUUAACCGAAUAGGGGAGCCGAAGGGAAACCGAGUCUUAACUGGGCGUUAAGUUGCAGGGUAUAGACCCGAAACCCGGUGAUCUAGCCAUGGGCAGGUUGAAGGUUGGGUAACACUAACUGGAGGACCGAACCGACUAAUGUUGAAAAAUUAGCGGAUGACUUGUGGCUGGGGGUGAAAGGCCAAUCAAACCGGGAGAUAGCUGGUUCUCCCCGAAAGCUAUUUAGGUAGCGCCUCGUGAAUUCAUCUCCGGGGGUAGAGCACUGUUUCGGCAAGGGGGUCAUCCCGACUUACCAACCCGAUGCAAACUGCGAAUACCGGAGAAUGUUAUCACGGGAGACACACGGCGGGUGCUAACGUCCGUCGUGAAGAGGGAAACAACCCAGACCGCCAGCUAAGGUCCCAAAGUCAUGGUUAAGUGGGAAACGAUGUGGGAAGGCCCAGACAGCCAGGAUGUUGGCUUAGAAGCAGCCAUCAUUUAAAGAAAGCGUAAUAGCUCACUGGUCGAGUCGGCCUGCGCGGAAGAUGUAACGGGGCUAAACCAUGCACCGAAGCUGCGGCAGCGACGCUUAUGCGUUGUUGGGUAGGGGAGCGUUCUGUAAGCCUGCGAAGGUGUGCUGUGAGGCAUGCUGGAGGUAUCAGAAGUGCGAAUGCUGACAUAAGUAACGAUAAAGCGGGUGAAAAGCCCGCUCGCCGGAAGACCAAGGGUUCCUGUCCAACGUUAAUCGGGGCAGGGUGAGUCGACCCCUAAGGCGAGGCCGAAAGGCGUAGUCGAUGGGAAACAGGUUAAUAUUCCUGUACUUGGUGUUACUGCGAAGGGGGGACGGAGAAGGCUAUGUUGGCCGGGCGACGGUUGUCCCGGUUUAAGCGUGUAGGCUGGUUUUCCAGGCAAAUCCGGAAAACCAAGGCUGAGGCGUGAUGACGAGGCACUACGGUGCUGAAGCGACAAAUGCCCUGCUUCCAGGAAAAGCCUCUAAGCAUCAGGUAACAUCAAAUCGUACCCCAAACCGACACAGGUGGUCAGGUAGAGAAUACCAAGGCGCUUGAGAGAACUCGGGUGAAGGAACUAGGCAAAAUGGUGCCGUAACUUCGGGAGAAGGCACGCUGAUAUGUAGGUGAAGCGACUUGCUCGUGGAGCUGAAAUCAGUCGAAGAUACCAGCUGGCUGCAACUGUUUAUUAAAAACACAGCACUGUGCAAACACGAAAGUGGACGUAUACGGUGUGACGCCUGCCCGGUGCCGGAAGGUUAAUUGAUGGGGUUAGCGGUAACGCGAAGCUCUUGAUCGAAGCCCCGGUAAACGGCGGCCGUAACUAUAACGGUCCUAAGGUAGCGAAAUUCCUUGUCGGGUAAGUUCCGACCUGCACGAAUGGCGUAAUGAUGGCCAGGCUGUCUCCACCCGAGACUCAGUGAAAUUGAACUCGCUGUGAAGAUGCAGUGUACCCGCGGCAAGACGGAAAGACCCCGUGAACCUUUACUAUAGCUUGACACUGAACAUUGAGCCUUGAUGUGUAGGAUAGGUGGGAGGCUUUGAAGUGUGGACGCCAGUCUGCAUGGAGCCGACCUUGAAAUACCACCCUUUAAUGUUUGAUGUUCUAACGUUGGCCCGUAAUCCGGGUUGCGGACAGUGUCUGGUGGGUAGUUUGACUGGGGCGGUCUCCUCCUAAAGAGUAACGGAGGAGCACGAAGGUUGGCUAAUCCUGGUCGGACAUCAGGAGGUUAGUGCAAUGGCAUAAGCCAGCUUGACUGCGAGCGUGACGGCGCGAGCAGGUGCGAAAGCAGGUCAUAGUGAUCCGGUGGUUCUGAAUGGAAGGGCCAUCGCUCAACGGAUAAAAGGUACUCCGGGGAUAACAGGCUGAUACCGCCCAAGAGUUCAUAUCGACGGCGGUGUUUGGCACCUCGAUGUCGGCUCAUCACAUCCUGGGGCUGAAGUAGGUCCCAAGGGUAUGGCUGUUCGCCAUUUAAAGUGGUACGCGAGCUGGGUUUAGAACGUCGUGAGACAGUUCGGUCCCUAUCUGCCGUGGGCGCUGGAGAACUGAGGGGGGCUGCUCCUAGUACGAGAGGACCGGAGUGGACGCAUCACUGGUGUUCGGGUUGUCAUGCCAAUGGCACUGCCCGGUAGCUAAAUGCGGAAGAGAUAAGUGCUGAAAGCAUCUAAGCACGAAACUUGCCCCGAGAUGAGUUCUCCCUGACUCCUUGAGAGUCCUGAAGGAACGUUGAAGACGACGACGUUGAUAGGCCGGGUGUGUAAGCGCAGCGAUGCGUUGAGCUAACCGGUACUAAUGAACCGUGAGGCUUAACCUU